rnacentral:rRNA from 1 species
GACGAACGCUGGCGGCGUGCCUAACACAUGCAAGUGGAGCGACGAACCAGGCUUCGGCCUGGGGCAAAGCCGCGAACGGGUGAGUAACACGUGGGUAACCUGCCCCGAUGAUUGGGACAACCCGAGGAAACUCGGGCUAAUACCGAAUGUGCCCUCCGACCGCAAGGUCACUGGGGAAAGAAGCUUCGGCCUCCGCAUCGGGAUGGGCCCGCGGCCCAUUAGCUUGUUGGUGAGGUAACGGCUCACCAAGGCGACGAUGGGUAGCUGGUCUGAGAGGACGAUCAGCCACACUGGGACUGAGACACGGCCCAGACUCCUACGGGAGGCAGCAGUGGGGAAUCUUGCGCAAUGCGCGAAAGCGUGACGCAGCAACGCCGCGUGGGGGAAGACGGCC